GAUGAACGCUGGCGGCGUGCCUAAUACAUGCAAGUCGAGCGAACGGACGAGAAUCUUGCUUCUCUGAUGUUAGCGGCGGACGGGUGAGUAACACGUGGAUAACCUACCUAUAAGACUGGGAUAACUUCGGGAAACCGGAGCUAAUACCGGAUGAUAUUUUGAACCGCAUGGUUCAACAGUGAAAGACGGUCUUGCUGUCACUUAUAGAUGGAUCCGCGCUGCAUUAGCUAGUUGGUAAGGUAACGGCUUACCAAGGCAACGAUGCAUAGCCGACCUGAGAGGGUGAUCGGCCACACUGGAACUGAGACACGGUCCAGACCCCUACGGGAGGCAGCAGUAGGGAAUCUUCCGCAAUGGGCGAAAGCCUGACGGAGCAAAGCCGCGUGAGUGAUGAAGGUCUUCGGAUCGUAAGACUCUGUUAUGAGGGAAGAACAUAUGUGUAAGUAACUGUGCACAUCUGGACGGUACCUACUCAGAAAGCCACGGCUAACUACGUG
rnacentral:rRNA from 1 species